UCAACACUUUUUACUCUUUUCUCUUUUACUUGUGUAUUUUGUUAAAUUUCAUCUUUCAUGAUUCUUGUUUGUUGGAUAUUUAUUCUCUUAUUUGCAAAACCUCAGUUCUUUUCUAUGCCAACCAUUACCAUACCUAUUAUUUAUGGUUAUGAUUUGGGGGAUAAUUUUAUAAUUGGGGAUUUUAAUCCAUCUUUGAGAAUUUAGGAUAUUAUUAGUAGUUUUAGUCUAUGUUUGGUAUCACACUCUGGGUUAGUUAGAAUCGCGGUGGCUCACCGUGAUUUUGGCAAAUCCACCCUGAUACCAAACAUGUACUUAAAUGAUAUUGUUGAAACUUGCAAAUGGUUGCAAACUUAAUUGGUUUUCGUGUAUGUUUGAUUUCACUUUCUAUUGAGGCAAAAUUUAUUGUAGAAUUGAUUUUGACACGUUUCGAUGUCCUUGAGUAGAAUUGGUUUUGACUUAAUUGAUUUUAACUUGAAGCUCAAAUUUGGAGUUUCUGUCCCUAGAAUUGAUUUUUACCCUCACAUUUAUUGUUCAACUCACUUGAAUAUAUAAAUAGAUUCAAACAUAAAUCACUUUAUGUUCAACUCACUUUUAGCAAGAAUUUAUUCUAGAACAUCCUUUUUUGUCACUGUUGAACCAAACAUUUGUCUUGUGAAUAUUAACUGAUCCGCUCCUAAUUUAACUCAAACAUUGAGUUUGUUAUCUACAAUGGAAAGAUACACUUACCAUUGCAGCAUGUUGGCUUACUCUCUGCUAAGUAUUCUGCAUUAUUGUCCUCUUUUGCGGUGUCACUGGGAAAGCACAUUGGUUCCUUCAUUUACUUUUAUGUUCUCAUCAAUUGGAAAACAUUGUGGAUUUACCAUGGAAUAUGAAUGUCAUAUUAGAAAAUAACAAUGUCAGUAGGCUGAGAACAACUUAUAACCUGCAUGUAUUUACCCUUGUAAUUGGCUUAUUGUCUUCUAAAUUUCUAAUUUUGGAUUUUCUU